UCUCUUUCUCUCUCACUCAAUUUUUCUAUGAAUAAAGCACUCCCUAUUUAUAGAAAAAUAUAUGCCAAAAAAUUAGUAACAAAUCUGUUUUAAAAUAAAACAAAUCAAAGUCAGAGUAUCUUCCAAGAAAAUAUAUUUUUUCCCAAAAAAUCUUCAAAACCUCAAAGAUGCAAAAAUAUUCAACAAAGAUUUUUCUGACUUCUUGUAACUGAGAUUUCAAGGCAUAUCCAAC
rnacentral:lncRNA from 1 species